CAGUCGCCACGGGAAUACAGAGGAUGCGAGCGUUAUCCGGAACGAUUGGGCGUAAAGCGCGCGCAGGCGGAUCAGUUAGUCUGUCUUAAAAGUUCGGGGCUUAACCCCGUAAUGGGAUGGAAACCGCUGAUCUAGAGUAUCGGAGAGGAAAGUGGAAUUCCUAGUGUAGCGGUGAAAUGCGUAGAUAUUAGGAAGAACACCAGUGGCGAAGGCGACUUUCUGGACGAAAACUGACGCUGAGGCGCGAAAGCCAGGGGAGCGAACGGGAUUAGAUACCCGCGUAGUCCCUGUCUCUUAUACA
rnacentral:rRNA from 1 species